rnacentral:miRNA from 1 species
UCCCGCGCUGGUGUGUGGCUCC